AGAGUUUGAUCCUGGCUCAGGAUGAACGCUGGCGGCGUGCCUAAGACAUGCAAGUCGAGCGGUAAGGCCCCUUCGGGGGUACACGAGCGGCGGACGGCAGAGUAACGCGUAGGAACCUACCCCAAACUGAGGGAUAAGCACCAGAAAUGGUGUCUAAUACCGCAUGUGCUCCUCGGAGUAAAGCUACGGCGGUUUGGGAAGGGCCUGCGUCUGAUUAGCUUGUUGGUAAGGUAAGGGCUUACCAAGGCGACGAUCGGUAGCUGGUCUGAGAGGAUGAUCAGCCUGACUGGGACUGAGAACGGCCCAGACUCCUACGGGAGGCAGCAGUCGGGAAUUUUCCACAAUGGGCGAAAGCCUGAUGGAGCAACGCCGCGUGCAGGAUGAAUGCCUUCGGGUUGUAAACUGCUUUUAUAUGUGACGAUUAUGACGGUAGCAUAUGAAUAAGGAUCGGCUAACUCCGUGCCAGCAGCCGCGGUCAUACGGAGGAUCCAAGCGUUAUCCGGAAUUACUGGGCGUAAAGAGUUGCGUAGGUGGCAGGGUAAGUUGAUAGUGAAAGCGUACGGCUCAACCGUAUAUCCAUUAUCAAAACUGCCCAGCUUGAGGGCGAGAGAGGUAGCUGGAAUUCCUAGUGUAGGAGUGAAAUCCGUAGAUAUUAGGAGGAACACCGAUGGCGUAGGCAGGCUACUGGCUCGUUCCUGACACUAAGCACGAAAGCGCGGGGAGUAAACGGGAUUAGAUACCCCGGUAAUCC
rnacentral:rRNA from 1 species